rnacentral:tRNA from 1 species
GGGGAUAGAGCUCAGUUGGUAGAGUGGUUGCUUCAUAUGCAUAAAGCCCUGCAUUCAAUCCCCAGCACCA